AGAAUCAACGCUGGCGGCGUGCCUAACACAUGCAAGUCGAACGAGAAAGGGACUUCGGUCCUGAGUACAGUGGCGCACGGGUGAGUAACACGUGACUAACCUACCCUGGAGUGGGGAAUAACUGAGGGAAACCUUAGCUAAUACCGCAUAAUACCUACGGGUCAAAGGAGCAAUUCGCUUCAGGAGGGGUCGCGGCCGAUUAGCUAGUUGGCGGGGUAAUGGCCCACCGAGGCAAUGAUCGGUA
rnacentral:rRNA from 1 species